UGGCUGUCGUCAGCUCGUGUCGUGAGAUGUUGGGUUAAGUCCCGCAACGAGCGCAACCCUUGUCAUUAGUUGCUACAUUCAGUUGGGCACUCUAAUGAGACUGCCGGUGACAAACCGGAGGAAGGUGGGGAUGACGUCAAGUCCUCAUGGCCCUUAUAGGUGGGGCUACACACGUCAUACAAUGGCUGGUACAGAGGGUUGCCAACCCGCGAGGGGGAGCCAAUCCCAUAAAGCCAGUCGUAGUCCGGAUCGCAGUCUGCAACUCGACUGCGUGAAGUCGGAAUCGCUAGUAAUCGCGGAUCAG
rnacentral:rRNA from 1 species